CCGAGUCUUAACUGGGCGUUAAGUUGCAGGGUAUAGACCCGAAACCCGGUGAUCUAGCCAUGGGCAGGUUGAAGGUUGGGUAACACUAACUGGAGGACCGAACCGACUAAUGUUGAAAAAUUAGCGGAUGACUUGUGGCUGGGGGUGAAAGGCCAAUCAAACCGGGAGAUAGCUGGUUCUCCCCGAAAGCUAUUUAGGUAGCGCCUCGUGAAUUCAUCUCCGGGGGUAGAGCACUGUUUCGGCAAGGGGGUCAUCCCGACUUACCAACCCGAUGCAAACUGCGAAUACCGGAGAAUGUUAUCACGGGAGACACACGGCGGGUGCUAACGUCCGUCGUGAAGAGGGAAACAACCCAGACCGCCAGCUAAGGUCCCAAAGUCAUGGUUAAGUGGGAAACGAUGUGGGAAGGCCCAGACAGCCAGGAUGUUGGCUUAGAAGCAGCCAUCAUUUAAAGAAAGCGUAAUAGCUCACUGGUCGAGUCGGCCUGCGCGGAAGAUGUAACGGGGCUAAACCAUGCACCGAAGCUGCGGCAGCGACGCUUAUGCGUUGUUGGGUAGGGGAGCGUUCUGUAAGCCUGCGAAGGUGUGCUGUGAGGCAUGCUGGAGGUAUCAGAAGUGCGAAUGCUGACAUAAGUAACGAUAAAGCGGGUGAAAAGCCCGCUCGCCGGAAGACCAAGGGUUCCUGUCCAACGUUAAUCGGGGCAGGGUGAGUCGACCCCUAAGGCGAGGCCGAAAGGCGUAGUCGAUGGGAAACAGGUUAAUAUUCCUGUACUUGGUGUUACUGCGAAGGGGGGACGGAGAAGGCUAUGUUGGCCGGGCGACGGUUGUCCCGGUUUAAGCGUGUAGGCUGGUUUUCCAGGCAAAUCCGGAAAAUCAAGGCUGAGGCGUGAUGACGAGGCACUACGGUGCUGAAGCAACAAAUGCCCUGCUUCCAGGAAAAGCCUCUAAGCAUCAGGUAACAUCAAAUCGUACCCCAAACCGACACAGGUGGUCAGGUAGAGAAUACCAAGGCGCUUGAGAGAACUCGGGUGAAGGAACUAGGCAAAAUGGUGCCGUAACU
rnacentral:rRNA from 1 species